ensembl:lncRNA
AAACAUGACUGUACACUGGUCUGGCAUCUAUGUGCCUCAUUUCUUCAUUUCAUCUCUAGUCUCUGUCAGAAGCUUGACAGUCCUUGACCGUUCCCAUCCACCCUCACUGUAUGGAAUAAAGAAACCUGAACGUCCUUCAAAACGUCUUCCAUUGUGGUCCUACAGGUCCUACAGGUUUGUAAAGCGAGGAGGAGGAUCACAGGGUGUGAUGAGGAACGUCCCAAGCAGGUGUGUGUUAUUGCUGUGGGUGUUCUGCUUGUGCUGGGCUGUAGCUCAAAGGCCUUAACGAUGAGAGGUAGUAAAAACACAAACCAUUCCUCUGGGUGACAUUGUGCUUUAAUUAAAGGGCUCAAAGCAAACACAGGGAGAUGGAUGAGUGUGUGUGCUGGGUGUGAGUGAGAAUGGUUAAGAAAACCACUUUCAUCUUUCUUUUGAGAAUGC